UGCAGUCGACGAUGAAGCCCAGCUUGCUGGGUGGAUUAGUGGCGAACGGGUGAGUAACACGUGAGUAACCUGCCCUUGACUCUGGGAUAAGCCUGGGAAACUGGGUCUAAUACCGGAUAUGACCUUCCAUCGCAUGGUGGUUGGUGGAAAGCUUUUGUGGUUUUGGAUGGACUCGCGGCCUAUCAGCUUGUUGGUGGGGUAAUGGCCUACCAAGGCGAUGACGGGUAGCCGGCCUGAGAGGGUGACCGGCCACACUGGGACUGAGACACGGCCCAGACUCCUACGGGAGGCAGCAGUGGGGAAUAUUGCACAAUGGGCGCAAGCCUGAUGCAGCGACGCCGCGUGAGGGAUGACGGCCUUCGGGUUGUAAACCUCUUUCAGUAGGGAAGAAGCGAAAGUGACGGUACCUGCAGAAGAAGCGCCGGCUAACUACGUGCCAGCAGCCGCGGUAAUACGUAGGGCGCAAGCGUUAUCCGGAAUUAUUGGGCGUAAAGAGCUCGUAGGCGGUUUGUCGCGUCUGCUGUGAAAGACCGGGGCUCAACUCCGGUUCUGCAGUGGGUACGGGCAGACUAGAGUGAUGUAGGGGAGACUGGAAUUCCUGGUGUAGCGGUGAAAUGCGCAGAUAUCAGGAGGAACACCGAUGGCGAAGGCAGGUCUCUGGGCAUUAACUGACGCUGAGGAGCGAAAGCAUGGGGAGCGAACAGGAUUAGAUACCCUGGUAGUCCAUGCCGU
rnacentral:rRNA from 2 species